rnacentral:rRNA from 1 species
CCUACGGGAGGCAGCAGUAAGGAAUAUUGGUCAAUGGGCGCAAGCCUGAACCAGCCAUGCCGCGUGCAGGAAGACGGCCCUAUGGGUUGUAAACUGCUUUUGAACAAGAGAAAACCUCGGUACGUGUACCGAGCUGAUAGUAUUGUUAGAAUAAGCAUCGGCUAACUUCGUGCCAGCAGCCGCGGUAAGACGAAGGAUGCAAGCGUUAUCCGGAUUCAUUGGGUUUAAAGGUGCGUAGGCGGCCUGAUAAGCCAGUGGUGAAAUCUCUCAGCUUAACUGAGAAACUGCCAUUGAUACUGUCGGGCUUGAGUACAGAUGAUGUGGGCGGAAUAUGACAUGUAGUGGUGAAAUACUUAGAUAUGUCAUAGAACACCGAUUGCGAAGGCAGCUCACAAAACUGUAACUGACGCUGAGGCACGAAAGUGCGGGGAUCAAACAGGAUUAGAUACCCUGGUAGUCCGCACCGUAAACGAUGAUUACUCGUUGUUGGCAUAUGACCGUCAGCGACCAAGCGAAAGCGAUAAGAAUCCACCCUGGGGAGUACGCCGGCAACGGUUGAAACUCAAAGGAAUUGACCGGNGNGAGAGNGCGAGACGACACGAGGGAGGAGG